ensembl:snRNA U5 U5 spliceosomal RNA
AUCUCAUGUUUGUCUUCAGAUCGACUAAAUCGUUCGGCUUUUACUAAAGUUUUCCGUGGAGAGAAACAACAUGAGUAUUUAACAAUUUUCAGAUACCUUGCUAAUGCAGGGCU